rnacentral:rRNA from 1 species
GACGAACGCUGGCGGCGUGCUUAACACAUGCAAGUCGAACGAUGAAGCCCAGCUUGCUGGGUGGAAGAGUGGCGAGCGGGUGAGUAACACGUGAGCAACCUGCCCUUCACUCUGGGAUAAGCACUGGAAACGGUGUCUAAUACUGGAUAUGCACAAUGGCCGCAUGGUCUGUUGUGGGAAAGAUUUAUCGGUGAAGGAUGGGCUCGCGGCCUAUCAGCUUGUUGGUGAGGUAGUGGCUCACCAAGGCGACGACGGGUAGCCGGCCUGAGAGGGUGACCGGCCACACUGGGACUGAGACACGGCCCAGACUCCUACGGGAGGCAGCAGUGGGGAAUAUUGCACAAUGGGCGCAAGCCUGAUGCAGCAACGCCGCGUGAGGGAUGACGGCCUUCGGGUUGUAAACCUCUUUUAGUAGGGAAGAAGCGAAAGUGACGGUACCUGCAGAAAAAGCACCGGCUAACUACGUGCCAGCCGCCGCAGUAA